GUGAGGAGUCUGCUUCUCUCUCCCCCUCUGCCCCUCCUUGUGCUUGUGCCCUUUCUCUCUCUCACCUGCUCCCUCUCUCAAGUGAAUCAACACAACCUUUAAGAGAAAUUUUUGUUUUAAAAAAGAAAACAUUCAUGUUUUAUCCUAUAAAAAGUUAUAAAGUCUUUUCUUGAAUUUCUAAUCUUUCCCAAAGAAAUGUAUGAGAAAAAUGGUCCAAUACCCAUUUCCUUCUAGAAUGGUCCAUGUAGAAUGUAAAACAAUUCUAUAAUGACAGUGGGCCCUGAGUAAGAUCUAUGUUCUCAUAUAUGUGAGCAAUCGCUAAGGCUGGGCCAUUUAGCUGUGGUCCAUGCAUUUUAUCCUAUAUAUAAAGUUAAGGCUCUGCAGUAUAAUAAGACAAUUCGUAUGUAUUUAUUUUCUCCACCCUGGUCAAGAAGUCCUGGGGACAAAUAUUUCUCCUUAAGAACUUAGGGAUUCAAAAGAGUUCAGGAAAUAUAUAAAUAUAUUUUUUUCCUAGAUGCAACCAGGCAUGUAGCACUGUGGAAACAAGUUAAUAGCAGAGGAAGGGAAGUAGAUCAUUCUGGAAGCAAAACCAGCAUUUUUUAAAGGAGCUGAGCAUUCAUUAAGUGAAGUGCAUUGGUAGAUAUCACAUAAAGAGGAUUUUUCUCUCACUCACGGAAAACGUUAACGUCAGACAGCUAAUGCCCAGAUGUUUCUUAGAUUAAUCACUUGUUAAAGUGCUAUAAGCAUUCUUUCAUUGGGUUAGCAAAUAUCUGGCCCCUGGAAGGAUCCAGAAGGACAAGAAUUGCAAGAGGCUACAGCUGAGAGCAGAGAUCAGAUUAUAAGGGCCUUUGCAUGAGGGCUAAGGAGUCUAGAAAGUGAUCCAAAGGACGAGAGGGAAUAGGGACAGGAUCAGAUUUGCAUAUCAGAAAGAUUAAUCGGGCUGUCCAGUGGAAAAUGGAUUAGAGGGGAAAAAAGGGAGGCAGGAAAACCAGUAAUGGGGACUGAUCAGGUAAUCCAGUGCGGAGAUGGUGGUGGACCGAAUCGGAGGAGGGGCAGUGAAGCUGGAGGAAAACAUAGGGAUUUGGUAGUAUUUAGAUGGCAGGGGUUAGGGACCCCAGCGAGUGGAUCAGUGUGGGGGCGGGUCCUAGCAAGCAGAUGGAGAGAAGGACAAUACCCAGUAUCUGAGGUGAACACACGGGUAGAAGGGCACUUGGAUAAGCGAUAUGAGGAGUAUGGGCAGGUUUCUCCCCACGUCGGGGUAAGUGUGUGUGUGACCGGUGUUGCUGAACCCAUGUUUGGACAUGCUGAAUGAGAGGCUCUGUUGGGCCCCCGGUGGCAAUGUCUCACAGGCAGCUGGUUAUGUGGAUCCUGAGCUGACUCUUGCUCUGUCUUCAGACCCGUUCUCUCUUUGAGUUUAGAUAUGAACACCUAAAUACUGGCCAGAUAACUCCCCUGAGAGGCCUGACAGACGCGCAGUGGCUCGAAGUGCAUAUACACAUGACAGGGCAGCAGAACUAACUCAAGACCAAAAGGUGCCUUCACAGAGCAGUGUAGAUACCGACAAGCCUAAUGAAGAACCUAUCGCUAGAAGGAAACAAACUCCAAGUGAUCGGCAUCUGUAUUUGCUAAGUCUGCAUCAGUAAAAACACCACCUGCUAUAACAGUUGGGUACGUGUGGCAAGAAGAGAGCAGCUUGACAUAAGCUGGACUCCCUACGGGUGCCCUGUGGACAAAGGUACCUGCAUCACACUGAUGCACAAGAACGUGUUCCAUAUACGUAAGAUAGACGUAGCUCACUGGAAUUACAUCAAGGAUCAAAGGACAGCAUCGGGUCCUUCCUUGUGAACUGCUGCUGUCUACUCAGGCCCAGUACAAAGCUCAGUGCCUCCUCAUCUGUGGCUCUGCUCGGAGGUCAGAGAUCUCCCAUUCUUCUGAACAACCAGAGCCCUGGAAAUCUGCACCACCCAUCUGUGGCUCUGAAUGGCUCUAACUGUUUCCUUGGGUACUUUCAGAAUAAUGAUUCAGAAGAUCAAUUCCCACAGACUGAGCAUUCACCAGAUACGUGUCAGGAGGAGACCAAGGCACACCGUUAAGACGUGCUCACGGGGAAAGCCCUUUGCAGACUGGCACAUCAGCUGCUGCUCUGAGUGCUCGUGCUCCCGAGUCCCUGGUCU